rnacentral:rRNA from 1 species
AGCCACAGCCAUAUCACCCUGCAGCCCAAGACUGGUUGCCCACUGAAGCUAAGCAGGGUUGAGCCUGGUCAGUAUCUGGAUGGGAGACCUCCUGGGAAAACUAGGUUGCUGUUGGAA